CCACAUUAAAAAAAUGAAGAAUUUCAAAGGGAACCAUCAGGAAUGGAUGUACAAACAUCUGACCAAACAGAGAAAUCUGGCAGAACUCAAAAGGAAAUUAUUUAUAAUUCUCUUUCCAAGGAAAAUGAGUCAAAGCACCGGAAAAUGGGAGGAAAUCCUUUUGUGUUUUUAGAGACUUUCACAAAAGGCUUAAAUCAGGUUCAUUUCAGUAGCCCAGAUAAAGAAAAUUGGGAGCACUGUACUGAGUCUUUAUUUUAAAUACUACAGUCCUGAGAAAAUGAAAAAUUCAUUGAUUAUGAGGCUGAAUAAUGUAAUGUACAGCCCCAAAACAACCCAAAGACUUUGAAACACACUGAAAUUAGGCAAGGAAUUAUUUAAAUGUUGCUUACUGGCUACAUGGGAUGUAUUUUUUCUGCUAGAAAUGCUGAAUGCCCAGCUGGCCUCACCCAUUUUCAGUACAACACAGGUUCUACCCAACAUUUGUGAUAUUUCCUGGGGUUCUGCCAUUCUCUUCUUAUCAAUUUUCCCUCCUGUAACCUUUUGCCAGCCAGGAAAAAAAAAUCAGCCUUGAUUAAAACCCACAUUUUAAUUUAAUACCACAUUAAAACUUGCAUUAUGUGGCACCUGCUUUUCCUUCCCCACAAUGUUUUUUUCACGCUCAGAGAGUUUCUCAGCACUUGCCUUGCUACCAGAACCUCUAAACACCUCAAAUAUUAAAUAUUUGCCCCCACUAGGUUUAAAAUCUUUUAUUUUUAAUGCUCCUUAACUCCAACCAAAACUGCCAUGGUUUAAAAUGAGAAGCUUGACUCAGCUAAUAAAUCAAGCAGCAAUUCAAUUUAUUAAUUAACAUGGUAACCUGUGAGCAAAGACAGCGCUGAGUGCAGUGGUGGGGGAAAAACUGCACACUGAUUGUUGGGCUUGCUGGUAUUUAUUGAUCAUAUUCAUGCAUAUUCAUAAGCUUUUCCUAGAAGUUUCUAUUUCCCAUUUCUUCCAUCAGCUUUCUGCAGUUUCCAUUUCCCAAUUUUUACGUGAGCUUUCAGCAGUUUCCAUUUCUACCUUUUGACGUCACAAUUCUAUGCUUUUUAUUUUUUAUUCUGUGCUUAUUCUAGGAUCAUCAAUCUAUGAUGGUGAUGCUGGUUCCUUUCCAAUUUCUGUACUCUGCUGUGUGCAUCCCAGGAUGUGUGUGCACGUGGUGGGGUCCAACUUCUGUUUUCUAAGAUCAUUAAUCUAUGGUAGUGAUGUCCAGCUUCCCCUUUUGAAAUCAUUAAGCAACAACCUUGAUGUCUAUCUUCCUUCUCCAGGAGCUUGGGAUAGAGUCACUUCCCUUUUUGUUUAAAUCCUUUAUACAUUCUAAAGCUACAGUUUAAACUCCUUAGUACUCAGCAACAUUCUAAAGUCAUAAUUCAAAAAUUCUUGUUACAAAACAACUCAAGACUCAUACAUUUUAAAGCUACACUUUAAAAUCCUUAAUACUAAGCAACAUUCUAAAGUUAUAAUUCAAAAGUUCUUAUUGCAAAGCAGCUUAAGACUUAUAAUUGUUAUUUGCAAACAAAAGAUUGGUUCAAAAGCCUUCUUCCAUGCUUCCCUUGGUUGUUUAUCAGAACUCAUCUUUAUAGCUCAUAGUCCCAUGUCUGUGCUCCACACAUUUCACAAUUACAAUGACACAGUUUGCCUUUAUUUACCUGACACGAACCACAACUUUGUAUUUCACACCACAGACAAAGCAGAAUUCCAGAUUUUUGAUGUUUCCUGCACCUCAGGUGGUUGUGAGAUAAGGUCAGACACUUUUCAGAAGCCCUGGAAGUGUGUCCCAGCUCCUCCUCUCAGUCAGGUACUAGCAAACAAAGGAGUGCCACACAUUUUAAGUCUGGAAAAAUUCAGAUUCCAAAUGAAUGAACCUAUUAGAAUGAAGGAUUUUUUUUUUUAAGAUCUCCUCUUGCAAACUCAAAAGAGACUCAUUAAUUAAAUAUACACCAGGAGACAACAUCCUGCCACAUAGGGAAUGGCAAGAAUGAGUAGAAAUUGAAACCCCAGAGUGACAAAGGAAAAUUCAGCUUUUAGAUUCAUUUCCACAUCUCCAAACACAGAUAAUUUAAGGUAUUUCACAAGAUAUCCUAAAAUAAUUUUAUUUAUUUAAAAUUUAUUUGAUUUUUUAAAUUUAUUUUUUAAAUUUUAAAUCUAUUUAUUUUUAUUUACUAAUGCUCCAGCUUCCUCAUUAUUUAGUCUGCAGCAAAAGCAAACAAAAGAGCAUCCAGGAUGAUUUCACUGCUCUGUGAUGACCCAAAAAGUUACUGAGGUCCCUUCCCAGCUCGUUAAUAAUUAAGCCCCAAAGUAAACUGGCAUUCAGCUGCAGGGAACUUUCAGUUCCCACUUCUGAUUUUUUACCUCAUCUGCAAUCCCACCCUGCAAUGUCAGAGUGACCUCAGAACCAUCCAAAGCAUCCCAAAAAGGAGUUUAGGGUGAGGGGAGCACUUCAGAGGCAAGGCUGGGAGCAGCUGGAAUUCCUGGCUCAGGUCCCUGUGCCACAAAAACCUUCCCUUGGGAAUUCAGCUGCAACACUCCCAGUCAAUGCUGCUUUCACUUUCCAUUCCCUAAAAUGAUGGCAGCAAAGAGCAACUUGUUAUUCCCUGAUACAGUUCUGCUGCUUUCAUUUUCUAUUCCCUAAAAUGAUGACAGCAAAAAGCAACUUGUUAUUCCCUGCCACAGGGGUGCCUCCACAAAACCUCUACAAUUUCAAAUUCCUCUUGUAUGAAAAGUGAUAAUUAAAGUUUAUUUUCAUACAGCAGUCCUGAGAUUACUCUUGUAUGAAAAAUGAUAAUUAAAGUUGAUUUUCAUACAGCGGUCUUGAAUUGUGCUUACUUGAAUAUCCUUCCUUGAAAAUCCUUUCUCUGAAGGAUACAAACAUCCAAGGGAAGCACAUCCUUACAUGCCACAGAAAUGUAUUUUUUUCUAAAUGUGACGCAGGAUUAAUUUGGAUUAAGAGAAAAGAACUACCACGGGAUUUUUUCUCUCCUAGAUUACAUUUAUACAGGAGAAUGACAACAGAGCAGAACUGAGCAAAGGCAAUAUUCCCAACAGCAGCUUUCUGAGCUGCAGAGACAAAAUCCAGCCAAUUUGCUGAAACAUUUCCUAUGUAAUGUUAUUUAUUCUGCACUGGCUUAAUCUCUUAGCUGCUUUUCAUCCACAGCACAGCAUCCCAACAAAACUGACUUUGGCAGCCCCUCUGGAAGGGACCUGGCAGAAGAAAACUGAAUCCUUCCAAAACUUUCUCCUCAGAAAAAGAGAAAGUUCCUGAAUGGAGAAAUACAAAAUGUCCUAUUCAUCCCAGCUGGGUGAAAGCUGACUGGAAAUUCAACAGGACUCUGAAUUCAACAUUUCACCAACUCAGGCCCACAAGAAAGGGCAUUUUCCAGUAGCUUUCCUUGAUCCUGAAGGGAUUUGGGCAUCCUUGACAAGGCACUGAAUUAAUCCUUCCAUCAAAUGAUCCCAAAUGUGGCCUUCACUCAGUGUCAGGUUGGAAUUCCAGAUGAAAUUGAUCUCUCAGGAAGCAAAAAGGGUGGAAAAUACACAGGAAAAAAAAAAAGAUUGCAGUCAAGAUUUCAAUGUCUGGAACGGGAUUAGAGGAGUGACAAAAGGGUAAACACAUCUUUGUGUCUGCUGGUCAUCAAAUCAUGAUUUAAUGGAAAUUAAAUCACUAAUGAAACUGAAAAUUAA